rnacentral:rRNA from 1 species
UACGUAGGUGACAAGCGUUGUCCGGAUUUACUGGGCGUAAAGAGCGCGCAGGCGGUCGAUCAAGUCGAGUGUGAAAGCCCCCGGCUCAACUGGGGAGGGUCAUCCGAUACUGAUCGACUCGAAGGCAGGAGAGGGUAGUGGAAUUCCCGGUGUAGUGGUGAAAUGCGUAGAUAUCGGGAGGAACACCAGUGGCGAAGGCGACUACCUGGCCUGUUCUUGACGCUGAGGCGCGAAAGCUAGGGGAGCAAACGGG